AUGAAACCGCGCCUCGGAGGAAAGUGGCGGCGCCAACCUUUCUUUGCGUCCCCGCCCUUCAACCCCCAUCAUGCCUCCUCCCUCCCCUCUUUACCACCCCUCCUCCCCUCACGCGACCACGCGCACGCUCGCGCGCCCGGGGAAGCCGCCUCAGUCGCUGCGUCUUUGCGCCGCCAUUCGGGGAAGGAGCAGCGCGCGCGCGCAGCAGGGGCCCCACGGACCCAGUCUAGGAGGCCGCCGCCGCCGCCGCCGCCGCCUCCGCCUCCGCCGCUGCUGCUCCGUGGCCUCCGGUCAGCGAGGAACGGAGGGUGUCGGUCCCACCUCCUUUGGUCCAGCUCUCUCCAGCACACCACGUGCCCGCCGCUUCCCCCCCCCUCCCCCAGCCCUGCACGGUUCUACUUCACACUUAGCAGACUGGCCAAUAUGACAGCAAAGGAAAAUAAUAAAUGUUGGAGGGAAUGCGGCAAAAUUGGAACACAUACAUUGCUGGUGGAGUUGUGAACUGAUCCAACCAUCCUGGAAGGCAAUUUGGAACUGUGCCCAAAGGACUUUAAAAGACUGCAUGCCCUUUGAUCAGCAAUACCUCUACGAGGCUUAUAUCCCAAAGAGAUAAUAAAGAAAAAUGUUUGUGCA
rnacentral:lncRNA from 1 species